rnacentral:rRNA from 1 species
AGAGUUUGAUCCUGGCUCAGAUUGAACGCUGGCGGCAUGCUUUACACAUGCAAGUCGAACGGCAGCAUGGGCUUCGGCCUGAUGGCGAGUGGCGAACGGGUGAGUAAUACAUCGGAACGUGCCUGGUAGUGGGGGAUAACUACUCGAAAGAGUAGCUAAUACCGCAUGAGAUCUACGGAUGAAAGCGGGGGAUCGCAAGACCUCGCGCUACCAGAGCGGCUGAUGGCAGAUUAGGUAGUUGGUGGGAUAAAAGCUUACCAAGCCGACGAUCUGUAGCUGGUCUGAGAGGACGACCAGCCACACUGGGACUGAGACACGGCCCAGACUCCUACGGGAGGCAGCAGUGGGGAAUUUUGGACAAUGGGCGCAAGCCUGAUCCAGCAAUGCCGCGUGCAGGAUGAAGGCCUUCGGGUUGUAAACUGCUUUUGUACGGAACGAAAAGGCUCUGUCUAAUACAGAGAGCCGAUGACGGUACCGUAAGAAUAAGCACCGGCUAACUACGUGCCAGCAGCCGCGGUAAUACGUAGGGUGCAAGCGUUAAUCGGAAUUACUGGGCGUAAAGCGUGCGCAGGCGGUCUUGUAAGACAGAGGUGAAAUCCCCGGGCUCAACCUGGAAACGGCCUUUGUGACUGCAAGGCUGGAGUGCGGCAGAGGGGGAUGGAAUUCCGCGUGUAGCAGUGAAAUGCGUAGAUAUGCGGAGGAACACCAAUGGCGAAGGCAGCCCCCUGGGUCGAUACUGACGCUCAUGCACGAAAGCGUGGGUAGCAAACAGGAUUAGAUACCCUGGUAGUCCACGCCCUAAACGAUGUCAACUAGUUGUUCGGUGAGGAGACUCAUUGAGUAACGCAGCUAACGCGUGAAGUUGACCGCGCUGGGGAGUACGGCCGCAAGGUUAAAACUCAAAGGAAUG